UGAUAGCGACUAGUUAAAUUUUAUUCUCGUCCUCAAACACGUCUAAUAAUUCUAUACAAAUAUUUCUCGUGAUACAGAAAAUAAUGAGAAAUCAAAUUAUGUCCACUUCUCUUAUUGUUUUGUUUGUUGUUCUCUUCCUUGCUUCUGGUAUGUACUACUAAGUAGCAUUGCUUAUCAUCUAUCCAUUCAUGAUUCAUCCUUGUCAUGUGUUCUAGAAAUUUUUUUUGAUAACAAAUAAUACUAUUUUAUUGUUGCAGAUGGUGGAUUAGUAGAGGCACAACGUCUAACUAAAUGUCAAGCAAAAGAACCCAUUGAUGUAUGCACUAUUCCGCAUUGUUCUUCAAUAUGUGAUCAGAAAUAUUCAAGUAACUUGGGGGUUGCAAGUGGCCAGUGCUUGAGUAGUACAGUCUGCAAUUGUAUUUACAACAGCGUCAACCCAGAUUGUCAUGCCAAAGAUCAUUUGAUUUGAUACAAUCAUUAUUAUGCCUUCUGCAGCUCCUUAUGUAUUAUAAUAAAAAAUCCAUAGUUCUAUACGCCACAGCCUUGUAUUAUUAGAAGGAUUGAAUAAAAGAGCACAUGCAGAUUUAUUUUAAAAUAUUUUAUUUAUUUCAAAAAGCACCCUAGAUCAAGCUAGCUCUCAUCUUAAUUACCUUAAGUUAGCGCCACUCAAGUUAUCAAUUGAAAACAUUUUACUAUUUGUCUAUGUCUCAAUUGAGUCUAUUUGCUUUUGUAAUGAUCAAUGAAACGGGUAUUCCUAUGAUUUCGUUGACAAGAAAAAGAAAAGUGUGAAAAAAUGUGAUAGAAAAGUUUUUAGG
rnacentral:lncRNA from 1 species